CAGAGUUCAUGCCCUCACGGGUAGAUCUCCCACCCUUGAAUAUUAUACCUUCGUUGCUUUGGCGGGCCGCUUCAGCUACCGGCUUCGGCUGGUGAGUGCCCGCCAGAGGACCCAAAACUCUGGAUUAUAGUGUCGUCUGAGUACUAUAUAAUAGUUAAAACUUUCAACAACGGAUCUCUUGGUUCUGGCAUCGAUGAAGAACGCAGCGAAAUGCGAUAAGUAAUGUGAAUUGCAGAAUUCAGUGAAUCAUCGAAUCUUUGAACGCACAUUGCGCCCCUUGGUAUUCCAAGGGGCAUGCCUGUUCGAGCGUCAUAUAAACCCCUCAAGCUCAGCUUGGUGUUGGGGCCUGCCGCCUGGCAGCCCUUAAAAUCAGUGGCGGUGCCAUCUGGCUCUAAGCGUAGUAAUUCUUCUCGCUAUGGAGUCCCGGUGAAUGCUUGCCAUCAACCCCCAAUUUUCUAUG
rnacentral:misc_RNA from 1 species